rnacentral:rRNA from 1 species
UCAUGGAAUACAUGUAUUUUAUAUAUUUAAUUUAAUAUAUAUAAAAUAAUACUAUUAAUAGUUAUAUAGGUUACUAAUAAAAUAUUUAUUUUAUUUAAAUAUUUUUAAUACCUAAAGAGAAAUCUUUUAUAUAUAUAUAUAUUUAAUUAUAUAUAUAUAUUAUAAUAUAUACUAAGUGAAUUGAAACAUCUUAUUAACUUAAGGAAAAUAAAUCAACAGAGAUAUUAUGAGUAUUGGUGAGAGAAAAUAAUAUAGUCUUAAUAAGUAUUAUAUAUUAAUUAUAUGUAAGAAUUAUUAAAGGAUUAACAAAUUCUAAGACUAAAUACUAUUAAUAAGUUAAAAAAGUACCGUGAGGGAAAGUAUGUAAAUGGUUAUUUUAUAAGCAAUUAUAGAUAUUAUAUAUUAAUAUCAAUAAUGUACCUUUUGUAUAAUGGGUCAGCAAGUAAUUAAUAUUAGCAAAAAUUAUAAUAAUUUAUAUAAAAAUAGAAAUAUAAAAAAUAUAUAUUUAAUAAUAUAUUUAUUAGUUAAUAUUAAUUGACCCGAAAGCAUAUGAUCUUACCAUGACAAGAUGGUUAAAAACGAUCGAACAGGUUAAUGUUGCAAAAUUAUCUGAUUAGUUGUGGUAAGUUAUGAAAGAUAAAUCUGAUAUGCAGAUAGCUGGUUUUCUAUGAAAUAUAUGUUAGUAUAGCCCUUAUAAAUUAUAAUUAUUAUUAAUCUUAUUAAUUUAAGAUAUAAAAUAUAGAUAUGGUACAGCAAUUAAUAUAAAUAUUAUAUAUAUAAUAUAUAUAUAUAAUAGUAUUGGGGAAUUAUUAUAAUUUUAUCAAUAAUAUUUAAUCUCGAAAUAUUUAAUUAAUAUAAUAUAUUUAUAUAUAUUUAGAUAUAAAUAUAAUAUAUAUUUAUAAGGAGUCAGAUUAUGUGCGAUAAGGUAAAUAAUCUAAAGGGAAACAGCCCAGAUUAAUAUAUAAAGUUCCUAAUUUUAUAAAAAUAUCAUAAAAAAAAAGAUAUUUAUAAUUUAAUAAUUAUUAAUUUAAUUAUUAAAUAAUAAUAAGUGAAAAUAAUAUUAAAAUAUUAUAAUAUAAUCAGUUAAUGGGUUUGACAAUAACCACUUUUUAAUGAACAUGUAACAAUGCACUGAUCAAUAAUUUAAUAAAUAAUAUUUAAAAACAUAUAAAUAUUUAAUUUAUAUGAUAAUAAACAAUAUACGGAUCUUAUUAAAGUAAAAAUUAUUAAACUGAAUAUUUAAAUAAUUAUAAUUAAAUUAAUUAUAAUUAUGGUAAUAGAACAUCUAAUGAUAAAGUAUAUUAAUUAAAUAUUAAUAUAUAUUCAAAUAAUUAGAUAGAGAAUGCUGACAUGAGUAACGAUAAAGAAGUUAAAACUUCUUCACCUAAAACAUAAGGUUUUACUAUAAAAGUACGGCCUCUAAUAUAAAUAUGAAUAAAAAUAUAUUAUAGAUGGUAAAAAACUAAAUAACAUAAAAUAUUAUCUUUUUAUAUAUAAUAUUAUUUAUAUAUUAUAUAAAUAAUUAAAGAUCAGGAAAUAUAUGUUAUAUUAUACCGUAAUGUAGACCGACUCAGGUAUGUUAGUAGAGAAUAUGAAGGUGUAUUAGAUAAUUAAGGAUAAGGAACUCGGCAAAAAUAGCUCUAACGUUAGUCAAUAAAGAGAUAUAAAAACAAGGUUGUACAACUGUUUACUAAAAACACCGCACUUUGCGAAAACUUAUUAGUUAUAGUAUAAGGUGUGAACUCUGCUCAAUGCUUAAUAUAUAAAUUAUAUAUUUAAUAUUAGAAUAUAUAAAUAAAUUUAAGUAAAUAGCAGCCUUAUUAUGAGGGUUAUAAUGUAGCGAAAUUCCUUGGCUGAUAAUUACAGUCCCGCAUGAAUGACGUAAUGAUACAACAACUGUCUCAUCCUUAAACUAAGUGAAAUUGAAUUUGCAGUGAAGAUGCUGUAUAUUUGUAGUUAGACAAGAAGACCCUAUGCAGCUUUACUAUAAUUAGAUAGAUCGAAUUAUUAUUUAUUAUAUUCAGAUAUAUUAAGUAAUAUAAUAUAUAUAUUAUAUAUAUAUUAUUAAUCGUUUAGAUAUAAAUGAGAUACUUAUUAUAAUAUUAUAAUAAUUCUAAUCUUUAUAAAACAUCAUAUUUAAUAGAAAUAUAUUCUUAAAUAUAAUUUAUUAAUUAUAUAUAUAUUUAUUAAUUUAAAUAUAUUAUAUAUAAAUAAAUAUUAAAAGAGACAAUCUCUAAUUGGUAGUUUUGAUGGGGCGUCAUUUUCAGCAAAAGUAUCUGAAUAAGUCCAUAUAUAAAUUAUAUUAUUAUUUAUUAAAAUAAAAUAUAUAUUAUAUAUAUUAAUUAUAAAAUAUAUUAUAUAAUAUUUUUUAUAUUAUAUAAUAUAAUAAUAGAAAAAUUAUGUAUAGUAAAAUUGUCAGGAAAACAAUAAUAAUUAUAAUUAUUUAUUAUAAUUUAUUAAAUUAAUAUAAUGGUAUAACUAUGCAAAGAUUAUAACACAAACAAGUGAAAUAAGUACGUAAGUAUGGCAUAAUGAACAAAUAAUACUGAUUGUAAAGGUUAUUGAUAACGAAUAAAAGUUACGCUAGGGAUAACAGGGUAAUAUAACGAAAGAGUAGAAAUUGUAAGUUAUGUUUGCCACCUCGAUGUCGACUCUACCUAUCCUCUUGGUUGUAAAAGCUAAGAAGGGUUCGACUGUUCGUCGAUUAAAAGGUAACGUGAGUUGGGUUAAAUACGACGUGAGUCAGUAUGGUUUUUAUCUACUACAAAUAAUAUUAUCUAAUUAAGUCUCAUUAUUAGUACGCAAGGACCAUAAUGAAUUAACCUAUGGUGUAUCUAUUAAUUAUUUAAAUAUAAUACUUAAUUAAUUAAUUAUUAUAUUCUAUAUUUAUUUAUACUAUAUAAAUAGUUAUAGUAGAUAAGCUAAGUUAAUAAAUAAUAAAUAUUGAAUACAUAUAAAAUAUGAAGUAGUCUUAAUAAUGAUAAUUUAUACUAAUAAUUUUAUACUAAAAUUUAUUAUAGGUUUUAUAUAUAUUUUAAUAUACAUAAAAUACUAAUUUAUUAGUUAUCUAUAUAAUAUCUAAUCUAUU